UCUGCUUUUUCAAUCUCGCUGAUUGAAUUUCACGUAUUCUAUUCAUUGCUCUAUGAGAUUUGGACCUCUCUCUUUCUCUCUCUGUUUUUGAUUGAAUCUCAUUAUCUUUGUCACUAUCACAUUUUUCUUACAAAAAAAUGUCAAAACAGUUUCUAAAAUUGGUGCUGGUGACUAGUUCAUUGGUGCUCUUCUAUGCAUAUUGAUGAUGACUGAUUUGUAGUUGAGGUUAGUAUUCCUGAUGCUAUGAUUCAUAUCCUACUGACAUAAAUUUUUUCUAUGGAUUUUUUUGUUAUUGGAAUUGCUUGUUGAUAUUGUGAUUCUUAUUGUACCAUUUUCCUUGCAUGUCAAAUGUUCGAUAAAAUGUGUGAAUGGAAAAAUUUUGUUAUUUUUAUUUUAUCUUUUAUUUUUUAGCCAAACACUGGAAAAUAAAAAUGAUGAUGAAACUUUUACUGUAAAAAACACUUUUAUUAGUGUAGUAUUUUCUGCCAAUCUGAAAGGGGUGUUAUCUGUGUCUACCAUGGGAUCUUGUGCACCCUCAAUGAUAAUAAUGUGAAAAAUAGUUGUAGUGAACUAUGUAAUCAUCUAUCUCACAAUCUUUUUGUUGUCUAUAAUAUUAGCUCCCCCUAUCUUUCCUGAUAUCCUCUUGAUAUUGUUUCCUAUGAGAAAUAUCAAAUGCUCCAUUUUUGGAAAUAAAUGUUCUGGACAUUUGAAGAUUCACCUACAUUUUCAGUUUGAUGUCAAACAAACUUGUCUAAAUGGUUAUUUUGGUACUAAGAAUAGUCAUUAUUAGGUUGGACUGUUAUCGAGCAUGAAUAUGAAGCAACUAGGCAGCUAUAGACUAAAGAUUUUGAUCCAUAGUUUCUUAUUUGUUAAGUGACUUGUUUGUCAUACUGUUCAGAAAUGGUCCUCUACUUUUGUUUGUAAAUCUUACAUUUUAAUAUUGAAAUGGCAGAGUAUGCACACUUUGCUUGUGAUUUUCACUAGAAAUGUCAUGAUGAAAUAAUAAAGUUCUCAAUUAUAAAGUUCUCUAUUAUAUAUUUUCUUGAAUGUUGGUUUCUAGAAAGUGGAACCAUAAACCAUGAAAAUGAUGGAAAACUCAAGUUUUAUGUUGAGAAAGUUGAACCAAAUAUGAGUUAUGGAAGCCCAAUAUGGCAUCCUCUGAUACUUUGAAUAAAAAGUAAAAAAAAUUGGUUGGGAAAUCAUGGGUGGGAUUCCGUUCUAGUCUUGAUGUUAAUGUUGUUUGGGGUUGAUUUAGCCAAUUCUUUUUAGUUAUUGCUAUUAGGUGACCUGAGUUGUUUUGUUACGUGGUGGGAUCUAAACUGGGUAUCACUUCCUUCAGCUAAGUAUCUGUUGGUCUCUUCUGUAGCUGAGUUGUUAUAUCUGCUGUAUCUGUUUUUAUGCUGUUAGAUCUGUGUAUCUGUGUAUAUGUUGGUAACACCUCUGCUGUCUUUGGUUUUGUGCUGCUACCUCUGCUAUAGUGUUUUGUGUAUCUGUUGGUCUCUCACUAAUAAUUACCUGGUUUGAUGGCUUCCACGUUAUUGCAGAAAAUAUGAUCGGUCUUAGCCAAUUGCAGUUGCUUCAGCUUCCCUAGACUUUGUCAUUUCAUAACAGGUAAGCACUUGAUCAACUUAUUCAUUCAAUACACACCCUAUGAACCCUCUGAUGGCAGCUGGGAAGACCCUGCAUAUAGAGAGUCCUUUGCACAAAGAUAUUUUACCUUGAUCGAUGAGUAUGCCGCAGGCUUCAGCUCAUCAAUUAUUGGCUAUGACAUGUUGACUCCACUAGACCUUCAAAGAGAAAUUGGUCUAACAGGUAUGUUUUGCAUAGCUGCAUGUGUUUGCUGUCCUCAAGAAAAAAACUCUUGGUUAUUAAGUCUAAAUGUUUAACAUAAAACUCGUCUAAAUGUUUUUUUUUUUGAAGGUGUUUAACUCAAGUGUUUCUUUAAUAUGUUCCUUCCAAGAUAAGAUCAGAAAUUUUUAUAACAGAAACUUGAAUAUGCUGGUGUUACAGCUAAAGAGUCAAAUAUAUUCACUACUGUUGUUAUCGUGUCUGCAACUAGGGAUGAUUGUUGAGCCUAUUUGUUGUUCAUACUUGUUUUUUUUGGGGGUAAAUCUCCACCAUUUGCUGUCAAACCAGCACCAUCACCAUCACUUAAAAAUAUGGUAAAGACAAGACCCCCCAACCCACAAGGGAGCCAUUUGCUAGAUUUCAAGAAGAAUUCACUUUAUAUACAAUUCACUGUUUGCUGGUUUAUAAAAUCUCUUUUCUUCUAGAUUAUUGAUGAAAAGUCUUUGAUUAAAAAGUCUCUCAAUACAACAUUUAUACCAGGUUGCCCCAUAAAAACUGUCUUAUAUGAAUACCUUUGGCUGUGGCAUACAUAUUUGACAGUUAGAGAUUGUGAAACACUUGCAAAACAAAUAAAUGGUUCAACAAUAAUUGAAGAUAAUAAUAAUAAUAAAUGAAGAAGAAUGAAUAAAAUUAUAAAAAGAAACUGCUUACAUGUUACAUUUUUCUCUAACUAUCAAGAACUCAAGGUUAUAUUGGUUGUAGCUCACUCUUAUACAUACAUACCAACACCCCACACAUGUACCCAGUCAAUGUAACAGUAAAUUUUCUUGUUAUGCAUUACUUUCAAGAAUUUGGAAACAUAAUAUUUCUACCUUUUAAG